AAUCUUAAGUCAUAAUAUUCUUCUUCUGAGUAUUUUACCUGCUAGACAACCACAAGCAGUUUGAAUGUGGAAAAUAGGAAUCAACCUUUUAAUGCAACUGCAGUGAAAAUAAGAUUGUUAUAUGUUGUGUAAAGCUUUCAACCACAAGCAUUGCAGACCUGGCAGUUCAACAAACACCUGAAGAAAAAACUACAGGCUGGGACACAGCAGCACUUGUAUAUACUGAACAUUAGUUUUUCAUUUCUUACUUUUCUGUUUUCAUUCUCAAGGACUGUGGCAAAAGGAAGGAGACUGCACACAAACGGGUAAAAAACGUGUUCCAGACCUCACUGUGUACCAAGUACAAGUACACACACACAGAUAUAAACAGGACAUGAAAUGAGCAAAGACUUUCUGAAAGAAGCCUGGACAACGUCCGUGUUCUAACACCACAAAAUGUUGCAUCUCCUGGAGAACUGUGCCAGCAGCGUCCCAGACCUUUGCUGUCAGCCAGGAGACCUCAUCAGCAAGGUGAUCAACUGCUUUCACAGAGUCACCUGGGGCUCCUAAAUCAUUGAGUCUGAGUCACAGGCAGACACACC